rnacentral:rRNA from 1 species
GACGAACGCUGGCGGCGUGCCUAAUACAUGCAAGUUGAGCGCUGAAGGUUGGUACUUGUACCAACUGGAUGAGCAGCGAACGGGUGAGUAACGCGUGGGGAAUCUGCCUUUGAGCGGGGGACAACAUUUGGAAACGAAUGCUAAUACCGCAUAAAAACUUUAAACACAAGUUUUAAGUUUGAAAGAUGCAAUUGCAUCACUCAAAGAUGAUCCCGCGUUGUAUUAGCUAGUUGGUGAGGUAAAGGCUCACCAAGGCGAUGAUACAUAGCCGACCUGAGAGGGUGAGCGGACACAUUGGGACUGAGACACGGCCCAAACUCCUACGGGAGGCAGCAGUAGGGAAUCUUCGGCAAUGGACGAAAGUCUGACCGAGCAACGCCGCGUGAGUGAAGAAGGUUUUCGGAUCGUAAAACUCUGUUGGUAGAGAAGAACGUUGGUGAGAGUGGAAAGCUCAUCAAGUGACGGUAACUACCCAGAAAGGGACGGCUAACUACGUG